AUACUUGUUUGGAAGAUUAUAAUUUUUAUUAAACCUCUUCCAGUUCCAUAUCUUCAAUAUAAAAAAUAUUUAAUUACCUAAGUAAUAAGUUAGCUAUAGCAUUGGCCUAGGUCAAUGAAAUGACCCGAUUAACCCAUUAAAAAAUGUUACCCGAAACCGAAACAUGUAACAAACAACUUGCAAGGGCAAAAUUACGAGAGUCAUUUCUUAGAUCUGUUAUGGAAUUAGAAGGAAAAGUUUGUAAAAUUUUAACAUAUGAAAAAUCUGUAUUGGAAGCAACAUUUUCUGGUUGGAAUCCAGAUGGCUCAGAGAUACUUGUUAAAAAUAUGAAAACACCUGCACAUUUACAAAUGGAUUCUGCUCUUUUAAGAACACCAGAUAUUCUAUCAAUUACCUUUGUAAAUAGUCUUGAAGAAAGUUAAAUCAUACCACUUAUACUUUAUCUAUAGAGUUGUAGUCUAGUCUAAGUUAAACUUGUUACGGUUUCUAUAAAAGUAUUAGAUUAAACAGAAAAUCAAGAUUAUAAUUAUUUCUUAUUGUCAUACAAUUAGUAUAUUGGAUCACAUUGUUAUUUAAACAAGAAAAUUAUGAGUUAGAAAUUUUUUUUAACAACUUCAAUAAAUUGAAUUUGUGAUGACAACAAUCAUGUCUAUACAAGUUAGUUAUUUCUUAGCCGAAAUAAAAUUUUAUAAGGUAGUAUAUGAAUAUUUCCUAGUUGAUACAUAGCAUAGCAUUUUUGAUAGAAAUGACAGGCUCUGAAUAAGACUGACAAUGAACCUAA